rnacentral:tRNA from 1 species
GCUCUUGUAGCCCAAUGGCAGAGGCGGCGGAUUUAAACUCCGCAAAGUAUGAGUUCGACUCUCAUCAGGAGCA